GAUGAACGCUGGCGGCGUGCCUAAUACAUGCAAGUCGAGCGAACAGACGAGGAGCUUGCUCCUCUGACGUUAGCGGCGGACGGGUGAGUAACACGUGGAUAACCUACCUAUAAGACUGGGAUAACUUCGGGAAACCGGAGCUAAUACCGGAUAAUAUAUUGAACCGCAUGGUUCAAUAGUGAAAGACGGUUUUGCUGUCACUUAUAGAUGGAUCCGCGCCGCAUUAGCUAGUUGGUAAGGUAACGGCUUACCAAGGCGACGAUGCGUAGCCGACCUGAGAGAGUGAUCGGCCACACUGGAACUGAGACACGGUCCAGACUCCGACGGGAGGCAGCAGUAGGGAAUCUUGCGCAAUGGGCGAAAGCCUGACGGAGCAACGCCGCGUGAGUGAUGAAGGUCUUCGGAUCGUAAAACUCUGUGAUUAGGGAAGAACAAAUGUGUAAGUAACUAUGCACGUCUUGACGGUACCUAAUCAGAAAGCCACGGCUAACUACGUG
rnacentral:rRNA from 1 species